rnacentral:rRNA from 1 species
UACAGAGGGGACGAGCGUUGUUCGGAAUUACUGGGCGUAAAGGGCGCGUAGGCGGCCCGCUAAGUCGAACGUGAAAUCCCCAGGCUCAACCUGGGAACUGCGUCCGAUACUGGCAGGCUUGAAUCCGGGAGAGGGAUGUGGAAUUCCAGGUGUAGCGGUGAAAUGCGUAGAUAUCUGGAGGAACACCGGUGGCGAAGGCGGGUCUCUGGGCCGAUACUGACGCUGAGGAGCGAAAGCGUGGGGAGCGAACAGG